AUGAUGUGGUUUAAUUCGAUGCAACGCGAAAACCUUACCUACCCUUGACAUGUCAAGAAUUUUGCAGAGAUGUGAAAGUGCUCGAAAGAGAACUUGAACACAGGUGCUGCAUGGCCGUCGUCAGCUCGUGUCGUGAGAUGUUCGGGUUAAGUCCCGCAACGAGCGCAACCCUUGUCAUUAGUUGCUACCGCAAGGAGCACUCUAAUGAGACUGCCGGUGACAAACCGGAGGAAGGUGGGGAUGACGUCAGGUCCUCAUGGCCCUUAUGGGUAGGGCUACACACGUCAUACAAUGGCCGGUACAGAGGGCUGCCAACCCGCGAGGGGGAGCCAAUCCCAGAAAACCGGUCGUAGUCCGGAUCGUAGUCUGCAACUCGACUGCGUGAAGUCGGAAUCGCUAGUAAUCGCGGAUCAGCUUGCCGCGGUGAAUACGUUCCCGGGUCUU
rnacentral:rRNA from 1 species